rfam:Ovis aries breed Texel chromosome 8, whole genome shotgun sequence.
CCCCUGGUGGUCUAGGGGCUAAGACCCUGCACUCCCAAUGCAGGGGGCCCGGGUUAGAUUCCUGGUCAGGGAA